rnacentral:misc_RNA from 1 species
GGGGAAUAUAACACAUUUGAUAAUUGCUCAAAACAAUUGUAGCAGUAUCAAUGACAUAAACGAAGUCAUAGAGAUGCUAAUGAUAAAAACAGCAACGGAGUACAUAUAAUAACAAAGAGACAGUCACAAAGGAAGAGGUGAUGUAGUGGAAGAGUUUAGGCAAUUAGAUUUCAACAAUUAGAGCUAGAAUAGGGUGAUUGGGGCUGGAACAAUAGAAAGCAAAUAGGUUU